UUAUUUUAAGCCUUCUGAAUACAUCUUUAGACAUGCUUAUUUCUAGAUUUCUACAAACUUAAUUCAAGAAAUCUUGUCAAGUGAAAUGAUCUUGCUGCAUGGAAAGAUCAUUUCACUUUUUACCUUUUUUGUUAUUUACCUUUUCCCUCAGAUUUAGUGUUU